AUACGGAGGGUGCAGGCGUUACUCGGAAUCACUGGGCGUAAAGCGCGCGCAGGCGGAUUGGCAAGUUGGAUGUGAAAGCCUGCGGCUCAACCGCAGAACUGCAUCCAAAACUGUCAGUCUAGAGUCUGGGAGAGGUAGCUGGAAUUAGUGGUGUAGGGGUAAAAUCCGUAGAGAUCACUAGGAAUACCGAAAGCGAAGGCGAGCUACUGGAACAGUACUGACGCUGAGGCGCGAAAGCGUGGGGAGCAAACAGGAUUAGAUACCCUAGUAGUCC
rnacentral:rRNA from 1 species